rnacentral:snoRNA from 1 species
UCAAUAUGAUGAUAUUUUCAAUUGUCAGUUCUGCUACUGAGUUUUUUUUGAAGACAUUCCAUAUUCUGAUUU